ACUUCCGCGUCCGCCCCGCGGCGUCCGGCGGCCGCGCCGAGGGUCUGGCGGGCCGCAGAGGGAGACCAAGACAUCAUUGUUUUGAAGUUUCUGAAAGUGUUGGGAGGCAAAAAUUCAGGUGCCUGGGGGAGAAAUGGAAGGCCACAAGGCAGAAGAAGAGGUGCUAGAUGUUCUCCGACUGAACGUGGGUGGCUGUAUUUACACAGCCCGGCGGGAGUCCUUGUGCCGCUUCAAGGACUCCAUGUUGGCAUCUAUGUUCAGUGGUCGCUUUCCUCUAAAAACAGAUGAGUCAGGGGCUUGUGUUAUUGACCGUGAUGGACGUCUAUUUAAAUACCUUUUGGAUUACCUUCAUGGAGAAGUUCAGAUUCCCACAGAUGAGCAAACCCGCAUCGCCCUGCAGGAAGAGGCUGAUUACUUUGGCAUCCCUUAUCCAUACAGCCUGUCUGACCAUUUGGCCAAUGAAAUGGAGACAUAUUCUUUAAGGCUUUAACAGACUUCUGUGAUUCAUAUGGCUUAGUCUGCAAUAAACCAACAGUUUGGGUUCUCCACUAUCUUAACACAUCUGG
rnacentral:sRNA from 1 species